AUGAUUUACUGUGAUACAACUAAGCAUAAAAUAAUAUGUGUAGUAGAGGAUUCUGUUUUAGUUUGUCAGAGUGUUUUUUUACAGGUCAGAAAGUCCAACUCCAUGAGCUACCAUGACAGAUUUCAAAUAAAAAAAUUCAGGGGGUUCCUGCACCAGCCAGACUGUGUCAUUGAGUGGUGGGAAACGCAUGACAGGUGUGCAGUGAGAGAUGGUUCCAUGCCGUCGCCGCUUCCCCUGGGCGUGACCGCGGUCAGACUGCUGUUCCAGCCCGAUGGGUUCAGGUACCCAUGUGGCCAAGAGAAGAAAAUACGAGAAAAAGAGACGAUUAACAUGAGACUGCUUUGACACUGCUAAUUUAGGAAAAACUGUGAGUGAUUUUGUUGUAAAAAGAAGAAAUAAUAUAAGGGAGAAAAAGAAAAGAUGAAUUUAAGUCAUUUUACUUUUAUUAGCCCCUUUACAGCCCCUUUACUUGUGUUUUUUCUAUCAAGACAACUCUUGGAAGCUUUAAGCAUGGUAAUGUAUAUGCCAAUGUUAAUAUAUUUGUUCUUGCCAGAAUAGGUCUUCUGUGCUGCUGGAUUUCUGCUGUUGUUGUAGAUUAUUACUGCAAAAAAAAAAAAAAAUAAAGGAAAUUGCUACUGCCAAUAGACACACAUAUACGCACACACACAUGUAUAUACUGUGUAUAUAUAUAUAUAUAUAUAUAUAUAUAUAUAUAUAUAUAUAUAUAUAUAUAUACACACACACACAACCUGUAACUGGAAGGUUUGUAAAACAUUUGCCUUGUAUACACCUACAGAUCAUUUAAGAAAAAUCUACAAUGAUGUGUAACACAUUUACAUGUGAUGAGUAGUUUACACUUUAAAUUAGGGGAUGCAGAAAGCUUUAUAAAUGAUUAAUUCAUGCAUUUACAAAACAGGUUUUGAAUACUUUGUAGUGUGUACUGUGAUGUAAAGGCUGACUAAAGAGGGUGUAGACAGAUGUCUUCUCUGACACACAUGGAAUAUUUUAACACUGUGCACUUGAGAGGAGGGUGAAACCAGUUCACAUUAUCACUAGAUCCCACACACUUCACAUAGAACACAAGUCUGUGCUGAUGAGAGAAAGGGUUUAACGCAACCCACUGGAAUCCCCUGACUGUAAGUCAUUCACACAUUUAUUCACUUGACAGCAAAUCAUUUAUUAUUCUUAAAUAUAUAUAUAUAUAUAUAUAUAUAUAUAUAUAUAUAUAUAUAUAUAUAUAUAUAUAUAUAUAUAUAUAUAUAUAUAUAUAUAUAUUUAGCAUAAUUGCAUUUUUUCUAUUGACUUAACUAGUAACCAUUAACCAUUUAUAAAGAUAUGUUUGAUUAUUUCAUGAUGCUAUUUUUUAAGAUAACUUACGACAGAUUUGUUAAUCGUUAGCAUAUUACUUAAUAAUAAUUUGUGAACGUAUAGUUAUGUUUUGUAAAUUAUUAGUUCAUAAUCAUCUAAUCACUUGUAAAUGAUUUAUAACUUAAUCUACAAAACAUGCAUGUAAUAGGUAAACCUAAAAAAAAGUUCAAGGUGUAUAUAAUAUCUGCAGUUUUUUUCCUCAACUUUUUUUUAUUUGUAUUUUUUGUAUUGUAUUUGUAUUUUUGUAUUUGUUGGUAUAGCAUAUACAUGUUUAUAUAAUAAAUAUAUAUAUAUAUAUAUAUAUAUAUAUAUAUAUAUGUGUGUGUGUGUGUGUGUGUGUGUGUGUGUGUGUGCACGCUCGUGUGUGUAAUAACACUAUGCUUUUCAUAUUAUGUGAAGGUAUAUGUUAAAAUUCCUAUUCUGUAUUUAUUUUACAUUUAUAAGAUGUACAUUCAUGCAAUGUGCCGCGAACCUUCUGAUGCUCUCUGUUCCCUUAGUGUGCAGGAAGUAAAAUGUUACAAUAUUGUGUUACUCAUUAUAAAAAAUAACUUAUAUACAGUAUAUCUCAGUAAAUAAAUCAAUAUAAAAGUAACACUAAUUUGAAAAAUUAAGUUUACGUGUAUCUUUUCUCAUUAUUAGUUCAUUUUAUUUUUUAUUUUUAUCUUUCAUAUGUUUUUAUCCCCUCUAUUCAGAUUUUAAUCUGAUAAUGUAUAUCAUGCUGCUGUACAGACAUGUGAAUCCAUGUCAUAGCGACUGUUCCUGCUGCUCUCCUGCUAGAUCCUUUGUAGCAGCUCGUCUGUGACAUUUAAACCCCUGAUGACUGGAGUUGGUGGAAAAAGGUCAAGUGAGUUGGCGUAAAACUAGUCAUUUUGCGGGUGUAAACGAUGAGUUUAGCUCAGAUUAAUGACUCCUGUGGACUCUGAAUGCCAAGAACUUUUUGUUACUCCACAUUUUGAUCUGCCUUAAAAACUUUGCAUCAUCUUAGCAGGAUAAAGAGCAGCGCUGUCUGCAUGCAUACAUCCUGCUACUGAACGUGAAUAGGUUUGUGUAGCAUUACACGAUGCGAGGAGAAUGCCUUCAGAUUCA
ensembl:lncRNA